AGGAAAAGGCAGACUAAUAGCAACAACACGUCAUACUAUAGGCCCAGCCAGCACACCCGGAUCUGUAUCCGCCCCCUUCGCUGCUAUUGCUCUGCACGGGGUCGGCUCUAUGGCACUUCUGUCACUGCCCGACUAAAGACUCUCUCGGCAGUGAAAGGGUCACGGGCGGCUUCAUCCCACUUACAACUCAGUAAACACUGGCACGUGCCCCGCUAAGGCAUCACGUGACGCCGGGUACGGCAUGUGACCCUCAGCCCAAACAUGUGACACCAGGAGAGGGAACAGCUACAUUGCACAGGCAUUGAGGUGGCGCAUGUGUGACAGGAAAGUGUCUGUGAUACUCACGCAGCUGCAGAUCCUCAAUAUCGUCUCUGGCCGCCUGAGAAAGUUUUCUAGGUUAAAGCUGCUCCCCGCUUUCGGUGCCCCGUACGCCCCGUUCUCCAUUCUGCUUCCUUGUCCCGCAACAAACUUCCGUGUGACAAAA